UACGUAGGGUGCAAGCGUUGUCCGGAAUUAUUGGGCGUAAAGAGCUCGUAGGCGGCUUGUCGCGUCGGCUGUGAAAACUCGGGGCUCAACCCCGAGCCUGCAGUCGAUACGGGCAGGCUAGAGUCCGGCAGGGGAGACUGGAAUUCCUGGUGUAGCGGUGAAAUGCGCAGACAACAGGAGGAACACCGGUGGCGAAGGCGGGUCUCUGGGCCGGAACUGACGCUAAGGAGCGAAAGCGUGGGGAGCAAACGGG
rnacentral:rRNA from 1 species